CUGGACCAGAGCCAGACGGCUGUGUCACCCAUGGCACAGUGGGAGCUGGAGUUUCCUCGCAGCCCUGAUUUCCCUCCCUGGACAUGGUCCAGGUGCAUCUGGCCGCUGUGAGGGAGCUUGGUGGGAGCAGGAAGUUUCCCUUCUGUGCUGGCAGCCAUGUGGGCUCCCUGAUCCCUGACAUGGGGCAGAGACUCACCCUGAGGGUCAUCCAGGAGCUCAUCCAGUCCAGGAAGCGGCCAGGCCUCUCGUCAGGGACAACAUGGCCAGCCUGGCCUGAACUCUCCCUGUGGAUGCUGGUUUCCGUCUCUGGGGCCAGCCCUUCGCUCGGGUCUCCCAGGUCUUGUGGUUCACAAGCCAGUCCCAAUUCUAAAGACGAUGAAGUCCUGCGUGGUCCUGCGUGGUUUGGGUGGUGUCUGCACCCGUGGUGAG
ensembl:lncRNA